rnacentral:rRNA from 1 species
GACGAACGCUGGCGGCGUGCCUAACACAUGCAAGUCGAGCGAUGAAGCUUCUUCGGAAGUGGAUUAGCGGCGGACGGGUGAGUAACACGUGGGUAACCUGCCUCAUAGUGGGGAAUAGCCUUUCGAAAGGAAGAUUAAUACCGCAUAAGAUUGUAGCUUCGCAUGAAGUAGCAAUUAAAGGAUUUAUUCGCUAUGAGAUGGACCCGCGGCGCAUUAGCUAGUUGGUGAGGUAACGGCUCACCAAGGCGACGAUCAGUAGCCGGUCUGAGAGGUUGAACGGCCACAUUGGGACUGAGACACGGCCCAGACUCCUACGGGAGGCAGCAGUGGGGAAUAUUGCACAAUGGGGGAAACCCUGAUGCAGCGACGCCGCGUGAGCGAAGAAGUAUUUCGGUAUGUAAAGCUCUAUCAGCAGGGAAGAAGAAAUGACGGUACCUGACUAAGAAGCACCGGCUAAAUACGUG